GAUAAACGCUGGCGGCGUGCUUAACACAUGCAAGUCGAACGAAGUUUUUCCUUCGGGAGAAACUUAGUGACGGACGGGUGAGUAACGCGUGGGUAACCUGCCCUGUACAGGGGGACAACAGCUGGAAACGGCUGCUAAUACCGCAUAAGCCCUUAGCACUGCAUGGUGCAUAGGGAAAAGGAGCAAUCCGGUACAGGAUGGACCCGCGUCUGAUUAGCCAGUUGGCAGGGUAACGGCCUACCAAAGCGACGAUCAGUAGCCGAUCUGAGAGGAUGUACGGCCACAUUGGGACUGAGACACGGCCCAGACUCCUACGGGAGGCAGCAGUGGGGAAUAUUGCACAAUGGAGGAAACUCUGAUGCAGCGACGCCGCGUGAGUGAAGAAGUAUUUCGGUAUGUAAAGCUCUAUCAGCAGGGAAGAAAAUGACGGUACCUGACUAAGAAGCACCGGCUAAAUACGUG
rnacentral:rRNA from 1 species